rnacentral:rRNA from 1 species
CAGGAGAAAGCCCGGCUAAAUACGUGCCAGCAGCCGCGGUAAUACGUAUGGGGCAAGCGUUAUCCGGAAUUAUUGGGCGUAAAGAGUGCGUAGGUGGUUACCUAAGCGCAAGGUUUAAUCUUGAGGCUCAACCUCAUUCUGCCUUGCGAACUGGGCUACUUGAGUGCAGGAGGGGAAAGCGGAAUUCCCAGUGUAGCGGUGAAAUGCGUAGAUAUUGGGAAGAACACCGGUGGCGAAGGCGGCUUUCUGGACUGUAACUGACACUGAGGCACGAAAGCGUGGGGAGCAAACAGGAUUAGAUACCCUGGUAGUCCACGCCGUAAACGAUGAGCACUAGUUGUUGGGUACGAAUGUAUUCAGUGACGCAGUUAACGCAAUAAGUGCUCCGCCUGGGGAGUACGGUGGCAACACUAAAACUCAAAGGAAUUGACGGGGACCCGCACAAGCAGCGGAGCAUGUGGUUUAAUUCGAAGCAACGCGAAAAACCUUACCAGGGCUUGACAUCCCUCUGACCGGCACUUAACCGUGCCUUUCUUCGGACAGAGGUGACAGGUGGUGCAUGGUUGUCGUCAGCUCGUGUCGUGAGAUGUUGGGUUAAGUCCCGCAACGAGCGCAACCCUUGUCGUCAGUUACUAACAUUAAGUUGAGGACUCUGACGAGACUGCCGAGGUCAACUCGGAGGAAGGUGGGGAUGACGUCAAAUCAUCAUGCCCCUUAUGUUCUGGGCUACACACGUGCUACAAUGGUCGGUACAAUGAGACGCAAUACAGUGAUGUGGAGCAAAUCACCAAAACCGAUCCCAGUUCGGAUUGCAGGCUGCAACUCGCCUGCAUGAAGUCGGAGUUGCUAGUAAUCGCGAAUCAGCAUGUCGCGGUGAAUGCGUUCCCGGGUCUUGCACACACCGCCCGU